rnacentral:rRNA from 1 species
ACUCCUACGGGAGGCAGCAGUGGGGAAUAUUGGACAAUGGGCGCAAGCCUGAUCCAGCCAUGCCGCGUGAGUGAUGAAGGCCCUAGGGUUGUAAAGCUCUUUCACCGGUGAAGAUAAUGACGGUAACCGGAGAAGAAGCCCCGGCUAACUUCGUGCCAGCAGCCGCGGUAAUACGAAGGGGGCUAGCGUUGUUCGGAUUUACUGGGCGUAAAGCGCACGUAGGCGGACUAUUAAGUCAGGGGUGAAAUCCCGGGGCUCAACCCCGGAACUGCCUUUGAUACUGGUAGUCUUGAGUUCGAGAGAGGUGAGUGGAAUUCCGAGUGUAGAGGUGAAAUUCGUAGAUAUUCGGAGGAACACCAGUGGCGAAGGCGGCUCACUGGCUCGAUACUGACGCUGAGGUGCGAAAGCGUGGGGAGCAAACAGGAUUAGAUACCCGGGUAGUCCCAUGA